UACGAAGGGGGCUAGCGUUGCUCGGAUUGACUGGGCGUAAAGGGCGCGUAGGCGGUUCGUACAGUCAGACGUGAAAUCCUGGGCUCAACCUGGGGCUGCGUUUGAUACGUGCGGACUUGAGUGCGGAAGAGGGUCGUGGAAUUCCCAGUGUAGAGGUGAAAUUCGUAGAUAUUGGGAAGAACACCGGUGGCGAAGGCGGCGACCUGGUCCGAUACUGACGCUGAGGUGCCGAAAGCCGUGGGGAGGCAAACAGGG
rnacentral:rRNA from 1 species